GGACGAACGCUGGCGGCGUGCUUAACACAUGCAAGUCGAACGGAAAGGCCCUGCUUUUGUGGGUUGCUCGAGUGGCGAACGGGUGAGUAACACGUGAGUAACCUGCCCUUGACUUUGGGAUAACUUCAGGAAACUGGGGCUAAUACCGGAUAGGAGCUCCUGCUGCAUGGUGGGGGUUGGAAAGUUUCGGCGGUUGGGGAUGGACUCGCGGCUUAUCAGCUUGUUGGUGGGGUAGUGGCUUACCAAGGCUUUGACGGGUAGCCGGCCUGAGAGGGUGACCGGCCACAUUGGGACUGAGAUACGGCCCAGACUCCUACGGGAGGCAGCAGUGGGGAAUAUUGCACAAUGGGCGGAAGCCUGAUGCAGCAACGCCGCGUGCGGGAUGACGGCCUUCGGGUUGUAAACCGCUUUCGCCUGUGACGAAGCGUGAGUGACGGUAAUGGGUAAAGAAGCACCGGCUAACUACGUG
rnacentral:rRNA from 1 species